UUAUUUUAAUGAUAAUAAAUUAAUUAAAUAAUAAAUGGAAUCAUUAAAGAUAAAAAAUUUGGCGGUAAUUUAUAAAAUUAGAGGAACUUGUUGAUUAAUUUGAUAUUCCACGAAUGGAGUUACUUAAUUUAAAUUUUAUAUAUUGUUGUUGAAAAAUUAUAUUAAGAGAUUUAUAAUUAAUAAAUUAGAUUUUUUUUAAAUUCAAAUCAAAAUGUAGAGUAAUUAAGAUUUAAUGAGUUACAUUAAAUUAAAUUGUUUAAGAUAAAAUUUUAAUUAUUUUAUUAAAAAGGAUUUAAUUGUAAAUUUAUAUAAAUUUAUAAAUUGAAUAUUAUUUAGAUUAUG
rnacentral:rRNA from 1 species